GCGGCUGUGAAGGUGAAGAGUCUGAGAUGAUUGUGUAGCCAUUCACACAUACUGGGGUUCUGUUGUGACAGCAGAGAUUUAAGUAGUGAUUUUAGAAGACCACAAGCAAGUUGUGCAGCAAACAUAGAAGUCAGCUGGAGGCUGCAGACCAUGAAUUGGGUUACAGCCCUUAUGAGCAUCCUUCCCCUGAAUUCGUACACAGCACGUGUCUG